rnacentral:lncRNA from 1 species
CACGAACCGGUCAGCCCCGGGUCAGGGGCCGCAAAGAGUAAAAAAAUCUCACUGAAGAAGAGUAGGCCUUUCGUUUAGCAACUGUGAAGAAAACCAACCACGCUGCACCUCUCAGGUAGCCUACAGAUGUGCUGUGCUUCACUUAAUUUUUGAGAGGGACGGGGGAAAAUACACACAAAGACUUGAUUGACAUAGAGGACAUUUUCAGAAAGCAAAUUCUGGUUCAUAGAGCCUUAUGUAUGUCAUGUGAACAUCACACAGUAGCGAAUGAAAAUAAUAAAGAUAUCAAGAAACUUGAAUCAUAUUUAAUGAAUCUCAUUAAGAAUGCGGGGAAACAUGCAACAGUUAAAAUUCUGUUGAAAUUGUUUAAAAUAAGUUCUAGAUUUUAAUGUUUAACCUGUAGAUACAGUAUACCUUCUUAAUUUUCCCAUGAGCUGGUGAGCUGAGGUUCCAGGGAAGCUUUGUUUCCAGUUUUUUAAAGAUAUAUUUAUUUUUCAUUCAUUUAUUUAACAAAAGCUUUCUGAGGCCCGGGAGUUUUGCUAGGCAGUGUUGAUAAAAAUGUGAAGACAGAAAACAGACACGGCUCUUACUCUCUCAGAGCUAAUUCAUAUCAGUUCAGAGGCAGUGAAUAAGUAAAUAAUAACCAAGACAGAAUAUUUUCUUCUUAGUAAAUGUUUACCUCUGUAAAUGCAAAACAUGAGUUAUUUUAAACCUAGAAUUUAUAUAUUUCUAGUGACAUGUUAAGAGUCUUUAUUAGAACUUGGCUGUGGACUUAAAAAUAUUAGGAAAAAAAUCAAAGUUAAUUUGUUCAUUAACUAUGAGAAGUUAAAGAAGAAAAAUUAAAAUUGUUUUUUUAACCUUUACAUAGAAAAGAUGGAAACAUUUUAUAAUAGCAUUUUAUAUCCUCUUUAGCCUUUUAGCAACUUUUAGAUUCUAAGAAUUUAACAAUAGAAAUGUAAAUAAGACAUUGAUUUAUGUCCCUAAUAUAGUUUUAAAAUGCUGACUUUAAGAAGUUAAAUUUAUUCUAGAAUAUUAUGUAGUUCCUAAAUCAAUAUAUUUGAGUCUUUUAGGAAAAAGUUAAGUAUGGAUCUUAUAUUAGUUUACCAUUAAUACUAUUUCUGUAACAAAGUUAGAAGCUCAAACCACCACCAAUUUAUUACCUUACAGUUCUGUAGUCAGAAGUCCAACAUGGUUCUCAAUGGCCUAAAAUCAAGGUGUCCACAGGAUUGUGUUCCUUUCUAGAGAGCAAGCUGCAGUGUGGUAAACUGCCUUUGAAAGAGACCCACAUGUCAAGAAACUGAGCAUCACCUGUGACCAACAGCCAGAAAGUAACUGAAGCCCCAAGACGAACAGCUUGUGCAAAACUAAAUUCUGCCUACAACAAGAGCAUGAAUUGAGACGCAGAUCCUUCCCUAGUUGAUCCUUGAAAUGCUUGCAGCUCUAUGGACACCUUGAUUGCAGCCUUGUGAGAAAUUCUGAACUAGAGGACCUCGUAUGCCUUACCCAUAGGUCUUACAAGAUAAUACGUGUUUUUCAAAAAAGUAAGUUUGGGGAUAAUUUCUUAUGCAGCAAUAGAUAAUGAAUAAUAAAGUAAAUACAGUUUUUUGCUGUUGACUUCAAAAAUGUUUAAAGAUUUUACUGUUAUAUAAUUGUACAUAUUUAUGGGGUACAUGUGAUAUUUUGAUACAUGCAUACAAUGUGUAAUGAUCAAACUGGGGUAAUUUGAAUAUCCAUCACCUCAAAUGUUAUUUAGUGGUAUUGGGAACAUUCCAAAUCUUGUAGGUAUUUUGAAAUAUACAAAAAGUUAAUUUUAUAUAUAAAUAUAUGUCAUAUAUUAUUAAUAUAUUAAUAAUAUAUGCCAUAUAUAUAUAUGUAUGUAUAAAUGCCAUAUAUAUUAAUUACAUGUAUGGCAUGUUUUCUUUUAUACAUUUAUCCACUGAUAAACACUUAGGUUCCUUCCUUACCUUGGCUAUUGUGAAUAGUGCUGCAAUAAACAUGGGAGUGUAGAUAA